UGAGGAAUAUUGGGCAAUGCCCGCAAGGGUGACCCAGCAACGCCGCGUGGAGGAUGAAUGUCGUAAGAUUGUAAACUCCUGUUAGAGGGGAAGAAUAGUACCGGUUGGACCGGUAUAUGACUGUACCCUCAGAGAAAGCCCCGGCUAACUACGUGCCAGCAGCCGCGGUAAUACGUAGGGGGUAAGCGUUGUCCGGAUUUACUGGGUGUAAAGGGUGCUCAGGCGGAUUUGUAAGUCAGAGGUGAAAUCUUACAGCUUAACUGUGAAACUGCCUUUGAUACUGCAAGCCUAGAGUAUGGAAGAGAGUGAUGGAAUAUCUGGUGUAGCAGUGAAAUGCGUAGAUAUCAGAUAGAACACCAAUGACGAAGGCAGUCACUUGGUCCAUUACUGACGCUAAAGCACGAAAGCGCGGGUAGCAAACA
rnacentral:rRNA from 1 species